AGUUUCAGGGUUUAUCGAAAUCCCAAUUAGGCGUGUCUGGGACUAAUAGAAAAGGAAAAAAGUGAUGUUGUGGAGUUGAGACUGGAGAAGAUUGUUUCCUGAAACUCUCCUUGACUUGAGCUGCAACGACCACAUUCCAGUCUGCUUAUAGAGGUGACUACUGUUCUGACCCUUCAGGGUUUAUAGAGGGGACUACUGUUCUGACCCUUCAGGGUUUAUAGAGGUGACUACUGUUGGACUGUUCUGACCCUUCAGGGUUUAUAGAGGGGACUACUGUUCUGACUCUUCAGGGUUUAUAGAGUUGACUACUGUUCUGACUCUUCAGGGUUUAUAGAGGUGACUACUGUUCUGACUCUUCAGGGUUUAUAGAGGUGACUACUGUUACUCUUCAGGGUUUAUAGAGGUGACUACUGUUCUGACUCUUCAGGGUUUAUAGAGGUGACUACUGUUCUGACUCUUCAGGGUUUAUAGAGGUGACUACUGUUCUGACUCUUCAGGGUUUAUAGAGGUGACUACUGUUCUGACCCUUCAGGGUUUAUAGAGGUGACUACUGUUGGACUGUUCUGACCCUUCAGGGUUUAUAGAGGUGACUACUGUUCUGACCCUUCAGGGUUUAUAGAGGUGACUACUGUUCUGACUCUUCAGGGUUUAUAGAGGGGACUACUGUUCUGACUCUUCAGGGUUUAUAGAGGUGACUACUGUUCUGACUCUUCAGGGUUUAUAGAGGUGACUACUGUUCUGACUCUUCAGGGUUUAUAGAGGUGACUACUGUUCUGACUCUUCAGGGUUUAUAGAGGUGACUACUGUUCUGACUCUUCAGGGUUUAUAGAGGUGACUACUGUUCUGACUCUUCAGGGUUUAUAGAGGUGACUACUGUUCUGACUCUUCAGGGUUUAUAGAGGUGACUACUGUUCUGACUCUUCAGGGUUUAUAGAGGUGACUACUGUUCUGACUCUUCAGGGUUUAUAGAGGUGACUACUGUUCUGACUCUUCAGGGUUUAUAGAGGUGACUACUGUUCUGACUCUUCAGGGUUUAUAGAGGGGACUACUGUUCUGACUCUUCAGGGUUUAUAGAGGUGACUACUGUUGGACUGUUCUGACUCUUCAGGGUUUAUAGAGGGGACUACUGUUCUGACUCUUCAGGGUUUAUAGAGGUGACUACUGUUCUGACUCUUCAGGGUUUAUAGAGGUGACUACUGUUCUGACUCUUCAGGGUUUAUAGAGGUGACUACUGUUCUGACUCUUCAGGGUUUAUAGAGGUGACUACUGUUCUGACUCUUCAGGGUUUAUAGAGGUGACUACUGUUCUGACUCUUCAGGGUUUAUAGAGGUGACUACUGUUGGACUGUUCUGACCCUUCAGGGUUUAUAGAGGGGACUACUGUUCUGACUCUUCAGGGUUUAUAGAGGGGACUACUGUUCUGACUCUUCAGGGUUUAUAGAGGUGACUACUGUUCUGACUCUUCAGGGUUUAUAGAGGUGACUACUGUUCUGACUCUUCAGGGUUUAUAGAGGUGACUACUGUUCUGACUCUUCAGGGUUUAUAGAGGGGACUACUGUUCUGACUCUUC